rnacentral:tRNA from 1 species
GGGCGCGUAGCUCAAUCGGUAGAGCAGCGGACUUUUAAUCCGCGGGUUCAGGGUUCGAGUCCCUGCGCGCCUACCA